ACUUUUCAUAUUCCCUCCAAUUUUUUCUUUUCCCUCGCGCCUAAAUUUUAGCACUUUAUUUACCCUAAAGAUUGCAAACAAGAGGAAAAAAAACUACGCUCUAAAUCACAGAAAGUAUCUUCUCAAUUUGGUGGCUCUCUGCAACCAAAGUUCUUCGCCACCAUAACAAUUGCUGGUGAGUUGUCUUUCUUUAUAUUUUUAUUUCUAUCUUUAGGGUUCAAUUGGAUGAUUCAAAAUUGGAAGUCGCCAUAAUCUUUUUUGACCAAAUAAAACAAAAGGCCAUCUUUGAUACCUUCUUGUUCCUUCUUCAUAUUCAAUUUCAAUAUAUUCAUCGGCAAGACUCAUUUAAAAUUCAGCUCAAAGUAUAUGUAUUUUUUUCUUUUUCUUGAUUUUUUUAUUUGAAUUUUUUUAAUGAUCAUGGCAUCUGGACCAAUUUACGCGCAAAAUAACUAAAUUUUGUAAAAAUAGUUUUUUGGCUUUGGAGUUAUUUGGGAAGAUUGGAAUAUUUGUAUCGUUUUGAUAUGUUUAUGAGUUUUGUUCAUGUGGAGUAUUGGCUAUAGUUAGGAAUUUUUUCUUGAAUUUGUGAAUUUGGGAUUCUGAAUCUUAUUAGAUUAAGAGCUUUUCCUCUUUUUGAAAUUCCCUUGGAAAAACCCUUCAUUUUUCUCUAAAAAAAUUGGGGGGUUUUCUUUGCAUUUAUUUCUGGAAUUUAUUGUGAAGUCAUAGACCAUAAACUUGUGUUAUCAUAAUCUUGUGGAAAUAUUUUCAGUUUGUUUUGGUGAGAGUAUAGUCUCAAUUUUACCUGCAUUUUGUUGUGAUCUUUUACUGAUUUUGCCACAAAAAUUGAUGAAAAGUUACUAUUAAAUUAAAGUAUUGACCAAAGAUAACUGGUUGGGUCUAAAUCCUUCAAUUUGAAAUAAAUAUUACUUGUUAAAUCAUUUAGUUGUUAACACUUUGUUUUGCUCCAUAAUUUUGACAGUUGGUUUGCUUUGAAUUAUUUAUACUUAAGGUAUGUGAUCAGAGUUCAUGAAUCAUUAUUGUACAAACUGUUUUUCGUUUGGAUUAUCCUUGUCAAAAAUAAUUGUUGCCUUAUUAUCAUCUUUUAUGUUAAUGUAAAUUGUCUUUGAGCUCAAGUAUCUAUCUCUAUUAGUGGAUUAUGUGAAAAUUUUGAUUGAGUGGCAGUAAUUUUGACAACCUCCAGAUACAAUUUUUGUCUUCUGUCCACUUUCACAUGUUAUUGUAGCUUGUUAAUUAAUUUAUUUUGGAGAAGGAGCUAUGCGAACUAGAGGUGAAAACAGGAUGGUUAUUAAACAACAUGAUGAUGCAGAUGCAUAACCUUAUAUUGAACAAUUGAUGAAUGGUCAGAACUGAUCUCAAGUACAAACACAUGAUAUUCAAUCUAAUGAAUUGAAUAAUUCUACCGAUACUAAGGUUCAACAGAAUGAUGAAUCAGGUAAUACUUUUUGUUUAUCUACUGGACAUGUUAGUUCAUUUACUGAGUGGUACAUUGUUCUUAUUUUUAUUGUUCCUUGAGAUUUUCUAUAAAUAUUUUUAUGUUGGUUGCGUCCUGCACUCCCAUGCUCUUACUACAGAAGUAUAUACCACUUAAAUUUUUUAUUCCGUAGUAUAUUUUGCUAUCCUUGAGACUUUUUGGUGAUAACAUCUUAUAGUAGAUUAAAAGAAAAAUAGAAGAUGCUGCACUAAUUUGGAAAGCAAUUGUUCCAUUCUCUAUAUGGAUUUGAUGAUCAUUAAAUCUUUUCAAAUCAGGUAGUUCAGUGGAAAGAAAGGUUCGUGGACCCAUAAUAUUAAAAGAUAUCUGGAAACUGCUACUAGGGAAUAAAAUUGCUAUACAAUUCAAUAAUCGUAACCAACCCAUAAGAAAAGAGGGUCGAAAGCUUGCUAGCUUUCUAGGCAUAAUCGCUAGAACUCCAGAACUAACACCUCUAACCAUAGAUGAUUGGAGAAACUUUGCCAAAGAUGAAAAGAAGAAACUGGUGGAGUUUGUGAAGAAGAAGUUAUCUAUCCCAACUCGUGGAGAAGCAUAUGUCAUAAAGUCAACAUGAAAAAAAUGGAAAGAUUACAAAUGUGACUUGAAAAAUGUGUAUACGACAAAAUAUAAGACGAAAGAUGCUUUGCUAAGAAAUAAACCAAGUCGUGUACCACGAGAUCAAUGGACCAAUCUGGUCUCUUAUUGGCUUUCUGAUAAAGCGAAGGUCAUACAGUCUGAUGAUCGAUAAUUUAGCCGGUGGAAGAUUUCAAAAUGAUGAAGCAUUGCAGAAAUUAUUUGAAGACUAUUAUUUGUUAGGAUUAGUUAUAUAAUGACAAUAGCUAUUUGCUUCAAACAAACUUACUGAGAUGUUCUGAAUAUCUUUUGUAGUGUCCAAUGCAGAAUAACUCAUAAUUUUGCCUGACUUGAUUACCUCUUCUA